rnacentral:rRNA from 1 species
GGGAGAGCCCAGCACCGAACCUCGCACCCUCGGGUGUCGCGGAAUGUGGUGUUUAGGAGGACCGUGCGCGCCUGUCCGGUAUCGUCCAAGUCUCCAUGAAUGGGGCCAGCAACCCAGAGAGGGUGUCAGGCCCGUGGGACGAGCCGCGACCGUAGCAUUGGGUCUCUCCUUAGAGUCGGGUUGCUUGAGAGUGCAGCCCUAAGCGGGAGGUAAACUCCUUCUAAGGCUAAAUACGGCCACGAGACCGAUAGCGAACAAGUACCGCGAGGGAAAGUUGAAAAGAACUUUGAAGAGAGAGUUCAAUAGUGCGUGAAACCGUUCAGGGGGUUAAACGGGUGGGCCCUCGAAGGUCGAAAGGUCCCCACUCCCGUCAUCUGUAGGCUGGCUCGUGCUGCUUCCGAUGCCGCUAGGCACGGAGCUCGGUGCGGUUUGCCGGUCUACGGGGGCCGCAAGUUGGGGACCCAGUAGGACUCCGCAACCGUCUGGGAGGCCGUCAGAAGGGUUCUGGUAGGAAGCCUCCUCGUGGGGUGGACUCCGGGAUUUCCGGGCGGUCCUCUCGGCCGUAAACCUGAAUUCUCCCGCCGGUGCUGGGGACGAGCCUUCACGGGCUGUCGGUUCUCGGUUUCCGUUUUGUGGGGGAAGCCGCGGAGAGUAGAGUCGGGUCCCACCCGACCCGUCUUGAAACACGGACCAAGGAGUCUAACAUGUGCGCGAGUCGUCGGGUUUUGCUAAACCCGAAGCGCAAUGAAAGUGAAGACCGUCCUCGUUGGCGUGUCUAGG